ACCAGACUCCUACGGGAGGCAGCAGUGGGGGAUAUUGCACAAUGGGGGAAACCCUGAUGCAGCAACGCCGCGUGAGUGAAGAAGUAUUUCGGUAUGUAAAGCUCUAUCAGCAGGGAAGAGAAUGACGGUACCUGACUAAGAAGCCCCGGCUAACUACGUGCCAGCAGCCGCGGUAAUACGUAGGGGGCGAGCGUUAUCCGGAUUUACUGGGUGUAAAGGGAGCGUAGACGGCUGGUCAAGUCUGAAGUGAAAGCCCGGGGCUUAACCCCGGAACGGCUUUGGAAACUGAGCAGCUAGAGUGCUGGAGAGGUAAGCGGAAUUCCUAGUGUAGCGGUGAAAUGCGUAGAUAUUAGGAGGAACACCAGUGGCGAAGGCGGCUUACUGGACAGAAACUGACGUUGAGGCACGAAAGUGUGGGGAGCAAACAGGAUUAGAUACCCGCGUAG
rnacentral:rRNA from 1 species